GCUGGUCAAGGUGAUCUUCCUCCAGUCCAUUGCUUUGAAUCCAAGGCCUCACGUUCACCCCAGGUGCAGACACAACACUUCAUUCACAAUCAGGCAAGCAGAAUGGAGCUGGCUUCUUCCAUGCUUUUCUUCUGGCUCCAUCAGUCCUGCAUCCAAGGUCUAGCUUCUCAGAUCUGGGGUUCUUCAUGUCAGGAAAGUCCAGCCCACACCACUGCUAUAGGCCAGCCCCCCCCCCCACCACACCAUGGCCAUGGUUCUGGCCUCUGAUGCUGCCCUUGCCCUCUGGGGGGGAAAAAAA